ACUGGAAAACUCAUUCUCUCCUGAGUACAAGUGAACAGUCGAGUUCACAGUAUAAAUAAUCCCUUUAUUGUGAUUAAUAAGUGAAUAUAUUUGAACACAGCCCGUGUCUGUCAUCUCUUACUAUCAGGUCCCAGCCGGUAGAACUUCUCGUGUUAUCCGAGCCGAAUACAAGCUAAGCUAGCGCUGCAAACAUUGCAACCAUCCCGGAAUUUUCUAAUUUUUUUAAACGGACCUGUAUAAACGCUAUAAUGACUCGCCACGGAGAAAAACUGCCCCGCUGGAGCCGUCUAUACAUACAUACCACGAGAAAAAGAAAAAUAGAGAAAAGUUACUGUUAGCGACAUCGAUUGUUCCCCUCAUCAAAUUAGGAUGCACGUGACGAAUUUAGUAUUAUUCUUGUUAAUUAGUUAUGCCUUUAAAAACUAACGUUUGAACUCGGGAUAUGAAUUGUGAAGCCAGAAAUGAAUGUGAUAUCCCCUUUACGCUGCUCCCGUUAGGGGUCGCCACAGCAGUGUCUACAUUUUAUUUCGAUUUGCGUCCGGUUUAAUACCUGACCUGAUUUGUGUUCAUAUUUUUUGUUUCAUGCUGGGUGGUAAAACAUUUUGUUCCUUGUCUGUGCGCGCGCACGUUUAGCCCAUCAACAGGUGCUAAUACAGUAGUCGAUUCUAUUCCAUAUGUAUUCAUUGGCAGCAUAUCAAAUCUAAUGAAAGAAAUUGUGUCCGAUUAUUUGUUCGGGGUUUUUUUUUGUCCUGCUCAGCUGCAUCUGGGUACGGCGCAUAGAGCAGUCACCUGGGUAAAGAUGCCAUCAAAGACUUUGGCUGCUGCUGCUUAUCUCUGCAACGCUGCCAGACAGCUGUGGUCACUGUCAUCUUACGACUGGCACUCGAUUGUCCACACGAGCAGGCAAGCAGGCGCUUGCUGUGAAAACUUCGUACCGUGAGAUUAUUUUACACAUCUAGUUUGAAAAGGAAACAAGUGGUGGCAACCGAGCUGGAAAAGAAACCAAUACAUUCGAAUGGAGCUGAUUGCCGUCGGCAUGCUGACGCCCUGACAGGAAGCGGCGUCACACGGCCGCGUCAUCACAUCAGUUGGACGCUGCUCAGCAUCACUUGCCACACCUCCAACCAGUUGAUGCUCCUGAUAUCAAGUUGGGGACCCGCGAAGUCCAGCUGGAGCUCGUCGUUGAAGUCCAGGUGGAAAGUGCCCAUUCCGCCGCACUUGAUGACAAUCUGAACAGUGACAAGAUGGCGGCAGGCUCAGUAAGCGCUCCGGCUCUUUCUACUGCAGUCAAGCGGUGCCAAAACACAUUUGUCAUGCAUCUUCAAUCACCUUGAAGGGGAGACCGGCUCCGAAGUCUUUCAAGUUAAUCAUCUUCAAAUUGGUCUCCUCAUUGGGGAGAACCCUUCCCCUAUUUCUGUCAUAACCUAUUUAGACAUAAUUCUCAGGUCCAUAAUUACCCCAUACGGAGCUCAAAUGACCUCAGACCACCAAUAGCCCGUACAUCCCAAACGCAAUGUAACAUGGGCUACAGAGGGUCAAAGAUUUACAAUUCGCUGCCACUAUUUCGAGGGGACUCACCAAUUUAAGAAGGCUCUGAAAUCACUUCUCUUAGACAAUAAAUAUUUUCCAUAUGGUAUGCUAAAUGAACCCGGAUCCAGUCAUUAUUCUCUUGAGUUAUAGGUUUGGUGUGUUUUACCCUAUUGCUGUAUGCCUUAUCCCUGUUAUUCAUUUUUCUUUUAUCUUUCAUCUGUAUGACAUGUAUGAGGACGCAUAUUUCUCGAUCCAUUGAAAUUUGACCUUAAAUGAACUCAUAUUUCUGGAGAAUGCCACUUCGUAAGCCAGCCCCCGGAGGGUUUUUUAGACAUUCUCCAUCAUAUUUAUUUAAUCGAUGUACAUUUGAAAUGUUUUUGUAUGUGAAAAUAAACAAACAAACAUACAAAAUUC